rnacentral:misc_RNA from 1 species
AACCUUAUGGACCUGCGGGCGUAUACCUGCGGAAGGAUCAUUAUCGAGUUGCAAAACUCCAACCCUUUGUGAACAUACCUCAGUCGUUGCUUCGGCGGUGGACGGUCUGUUUUUCAGGACGGCCGGAAGCCGCCGGAGGUUCCAAACUCGUGUUUUGUUUAGUGUAUCUCUGAGCCUGAAAACAAAUAAUCAAAACUUUCAACAACGGAUCU